GGGCCCGCACAAGCGGUGGAGCAUGUGGUUUAAUUCGAUGAUACGCGAGGAACCUUACCAGGGCUUAAAUGUAGAUUGCAUAAGCUAGAGAUAGCUUUUUUCUUCGGACUAUCUACAAGGUGCUGCAUGGUUGUCGUCAGCUCGUGCCGUGAGGUGUCAGUUAAGUCCUAUAACGAGCGCAACCCCUGUCGUUAGUUGCCAACAGGUUAUGCUGGGAACUCUAACGAGACUGCCGGUGCAAACUGAGAGGAAGGUGGGGACGACGUCAAAAUCAUCACGGCCUUACCUGCCUGGGCUACACACGUGCUACAAUGGUCGGUACAGAGAGCAGCCACCUUGCGAAAGG
rnacentral:rRNA from 1 species